GAUGAACGCUGGCGGCGUGCCUAAUACAUGCAAGUCGAGCGAACGGACGAGAAUCUUGCUUCUCUGAUGUUAGCGGCGGACGGGUGAUUAACACGUGGAUACCCUACCUAUAAGACUGGGAUAACUUCGGGAAACCGUAGCUAAUACCGGAUAAUAUUUUGAACCGCAUGGUUCAACAGUGAAAGACGGUCUUGCUGUCACUUAUAGAUGGAUCCGCGCUGCAUUAGCUAGUUGGUAAGGUAACGGCUUACCAAGGCAACGAUGCAUAGCCGACCUGAGAGGGUGAUCGGCCACACUGGAACUGAGACACGGUCCAGACUCCUACGGGAGGCAGCAGUAGGGAAUCUUCCGCAAUGGGCGAAAGCCUGACGGAGCAACGCCGCGUGAGUGAUGAAGGUCUUCGGAUCGUAAAGCUCUGUUAUUAGGGAAGAACAUAUGUGUAAGUAACUGUGCACAUCUUGACGGUACCUAAUCAGAAAGCCACGGCUAACUACGUG
rnacentral:rRNA from 1 species